UUUUGCUUAUUUUGUACUUUAACCCAUUAUAUAGUUCACUUAACAAAAAACACCUUUAUAUGUAAAAAUACAUAUAUAACUUAGAAGAGUUUCCAGGCAAAGGCUGUAUUCGACCUCUAUAAUAUCCCUUUAGUUGAAUACUUCCACAACAACGUCGUCGACUCAGCGAAGCAGCUAGCUAGAGUUAUUCGGGAAAAUGUUGGCCUCUGAAGCUGGAACCGGCGGAGUACCGGCGUGUGUGUUAAGGACAUUGUGCUCAAACGCCAUCUCAGCUGAGCCUGUAACAUCCUCAGAGACUCCGCCCACC